GGUGAACGCUGGCGGCGUGCCUAAUACAUGCAAGUCGAGCGAACGGACGAGAAGCUUGCUUCUCUGAUGUUAGCGGCGGACGGGUGAGUAACACGUGGAUAACCUACCUAUGAGACUGGGAUAACUUCGGGAAACCGUAGCUAAUACCGGAUAAUAUUUUGAACCGCAUGGUUCAAAAGUGAAAGACGGUCUUGCUGUCACUUAUAGAUGGAUCCGCGCUGCAUUAGCUAGUUGGUAAGGUAACGGCUUACCAAGGCAACGAUGCAUAGCCGACCUGAGAGGGUGAUCGGCCACACUGGAACUGAGACACGGUCCAGACUCCUACGGGAGGCAGCAGUAGGGAAUCUUCCGCAAUGGGCGAAAGCCUGACGGAGCAACGCCGCGUGAGUGAUGAAGGUCUUCGGAUCGUAAAACUCUGUUAUUAGGGAAGAACAUAUGUGUAAGUAACUGUGCACAUCUUGACGGUACCUAAUCAGAAAGCCACGGCUAACUACGUGCCAGCAGCCGCGGUAAUACGUAGGUGGCAAGCGUUAUCCGGAAUUAUUGGGCGUAAAGCGCGCGUAGGCGGUUUUUUAAGUCUGAUGUGAAAGCCCACGGCUCAACCGUGGAGGGUCAUUGGAAACUGGAAAACUUGAGUGCAGAAGAGGAAAGUGGAAUUCCAUGUGUAGCGGUGAAAUGCGCAGAGAUAUGGAGGAACACCAGUGGCGAAGGCGACUUUCUGGUCUGUAACUGACGCUGAUGUGCGAAAGCGUGGGGAUCAAACAGGAUUAGAUACCCUGGUAGUCCACGCCGUAAACGAUGAGUGCUAAGUGUUAGGGGGUUUCCGCCCCUUAGUGCUGCAGCUAACGCAUUAAGCACUCCGCCUGGGGAGUACGACCGCAAGGUUGAAACUCAAAGGAAUUGACGGGGACCCGCACAAGCGGUGGAGCAUGUGGUUUAAUUCGAAGCAACGCGAAGAACCUUACCAAAUCUUGACAUCCUUUGACAACUCUAGAGAUAGAGCCUUCCCCUUCGGGGGACAAAGUGACAGGUGGUGCAUGGUUGUCGUCAGCUCGUGUCGUGAGAUGUUGGGUUAAGUCCCGCAACGAGCGCAACCCUUAAGCUUAGUUGCCAUCAUUAAGUUGGGCACUCUAAGUUGACUGCCGGUGACAAACCGGAGGAAGGUGGGGAUGACGUCAAAUCAUCAUGCCCCUUAUGAUUUGGGCUACACACGUGCUACAAUGGACAAUACAAAGGGCAGCGAAACCGCGAGGUCAAGCAAAUCCCAUAAAGUUGUUCUCAGUUCGGAUUGUAGUCUGCAACUCGACUACAUGAAGCUGGAAUCGCUAGUAAUCGUAGAUCAGCAUGCUACGGUGAAUACGUUCCCGGGUCU
rnacentral:rRNA from 1 species